GGCGUGCGCUCGGGUUCUGCUGCUCGCCUGCAGCAGCAGCCCCAGGGAGCUCAGUCCUGGGCUGUGCAACCUGCAGCCAGAGCCCGGGCUGCUCCGUGCAAGGGGCAGGGGUUGGGCAGCAGCCCUGGGCCAUAGCACUGGGACAUUCGCUGCUCCUCUUUCCUCUGCAAGUGCAGAAUCAGACCGGUCGGUGCCGUUUAUAGCAGCUCUUGGCUGCCCAGGCAGCAGCUGGGUGCAAACCGUGCUCCCUCUCGUCUGCCCAGGUGACCAUGACCUGUUGGAGCCCAGAUCCUGCUCCUGCCACCCCGUGACAUGCUGGGUGUGCAGCUGGGAGUUUUCUAAAGGCUUCUGCAGUAGCUGAGCUAAUGCAAAAUGGUAUUUUUAUUCACCCUCUGCGUGCCUCCCCUUGCCCUUGUCCCUCUGGUUUCCUCCCCGUGCUCUGCAGCCUCCCUGCCCCGCUGCGCUCCCGCUCGCGCUUCGAAGAAGAAAACCGUGCGAGAAACAUCAGCCUCGAAAAGCUUUGCCCGAGCAGCGAGUGGUUCAGCGAGCCCGGCUCAUUACAACGUGUUCUCACCAAUUUCUGCUGCCCUCUUAUCAGGCCAUCAGCCCGAAACAGAUCACCCUGCAGCUGCACCGCCUCAUUGCGGUGGCCGAGGCUCGGCGAGCCGCAGCCUGACUCACACUGUGGGGGAGAAAGUCAUUAUUCCAGCCGUGGCAAAUUGCACCGGCCCUAACCUUUCUCCCCGUGACAGUAAUGAUGCUCUUUUAAAAAUAUAUCUUAAUUGAUCGUGGAGAACGAGCUGGGCUUAUUGGGGAGCUGGCAGUGGAGGGAUGAGGGCAGGAACAGGAGGAGAGGUGGCACCGGGGUCCCAUGGAGAGGGCACAGGGGGCCAGAUCCUGCGGACAGGGCAGGGCAGGGGCAGUGAUGGGGCUCCCUGUGGGUCCCCUCAGGGAUUUCUUCUCUCUUUUGUUGCCUGAACAAGGGCUGCAUCCACGCAGGGCUUGUGAGCAGAGCAGGGCUCAUGUACACGAGGGCUCUCCUUCCUCCGCCUCCUCCUCCUCCUCCCUCUGCCCGCAGCUCCCUCUCUGUGCCCUGCCUGCACCGCGCCGCUCUGCGGAGCCGUUUCGCCCUGCUCGGGAAGGAACGAUCGCCCUUUCCCCAGAAGUGUUUUGCUCGGAGCUGCUCAAGCAUGUUUGAUGAAAAGCGAGCUGGAUCCAAAACUAGAGUGACCUUCUCGGUGAGGCUUUGUGAGUCCUCGGAGCCUGCAAGAGAGACGUGGGGGGGUUUGCACGGGAGGCUGUUGUGAGCCACUGCAGCAUUUCAAGUGCUUCUGCUCGCGGAGCGGGGAGAUGCCUCUGCUCUUGUCUCUCGCUGGGAAGAAAAUGCAACAAUGCUCUCUAGAGGCAGAAGAAGUCAAGAAGUGGCUCGCUCUCCCCGGCUCCGUGCUUCACCGUGACCUCGCUGCUCUUUGCAGCUGUUUAGUUCCCACAUCAACAGCAGUCUCCGGGCGUUUUGGCCUCUCGUGUUGUAGCGUGGGUUGUUUGCUUCCCCCAGCCCGGGACAACCUGAUGUAAUUAUUGCAGGUGCUCGGAGGAGGGCUGGGAGCAGCCCAGGUCAGGAUGCAGCCCCAGGACCAGGUGGCCAAGCGGGGCGAUGGGGAAGGGGACAGGGCAGGACGUGGGCAGGAUGGGGCUGUACCAUGGUCUAGCAUCACCACGGGGCAGGGACAGCCCCCAGGACUUGUUGUGGGUUUGUGGAAGGUCCUCUAAGGGCUGAUCAACCCCGAGUGCAGCUGUGGGGAAGGUGGAGCUGCAGGAGCCCAAUCAUGCAGCAACCGCCCCCUAAUAAAAUCCAGAGGGGGAAGAGAAGCUGGUUUUGGAGGGUGCAGGUCUCUUGGGGGCAGACUGUUGGCACUGGCUCAUCUUUGAUUUCUUUUUUAUUUUUGUGUUAAUUUAUUUAUUUGCUUUUGUGAGGAACAGGCUGGAGCUGUGAAGAUGAGAGGGCUUUCCUGGGAUGCUGAGCUGAACAAAGGUCAGAGAGUUACUGCAGGAGCUCCUGGGGUGAUUUAGUAACCUGACGGUCAGCUCCUGAGAGGGUGGCUUGCACCUUGCCCAUGGAGCCAUGCUCUGAAGAUGCUUGUCCACCAAGUGGCUGGGAUCCCAUACCGAGGUCAGCUGAAUAUUCCAUGUUCCUGCAUGGACGAGGCAAAAGAUGUGUAACAUUUACACCCAAGCCUUCCCUGGGGCUCCAUUCAUACUCAAAUUUUCUUCUCCCUGUUUCCGUGUGCUGAUUUCUAUGAGCUAUUUUCCCGUGUCAUGCAAGUCUUUGCCGUUCUGCAGUGCUACUUUCUAAAGGGUUUUUUGGGAGGCUGCUGAUUCUCAGAGGUUUGUCAGUGUUGCUGUGAUGUCCUUCCCCUAAAGCUCUUGAGCAGCUGGGUGGGACCCGUAGUGAGCCCAGGGCUGCCCUGGCAAGGUGACCCUCAGAGCAUGAAGUCCUCCUGGAGCCCCUUACGGUGGGGACAGGACCCCAAAGACAUGCACACACGGGCUGGCUUGGCUUAAAGAAACGCCUGAGCAAGAGCUGCGGCUGCCUCGUAUCCCUGGAGUUAUUUUUCUUUUGUGGGCUGUUUAUAUCUAGUAAGACAGAGGAGAUGUCAGCCUCCUGGAGCCACAGGUGGCUUCUCCUCCAUGUGGAGCCCUGCUGCCACGAAGGAGCGCUGCAGCAUGGCAACAAUGCGGUCCAAAAUAGUAACAGGAGUACAGUCGUUGUUUGCACAGACGAAUGCAGAAAAUGACGGGAAAUGGCGAGGAGCCCAUUAGUCUGGAAAGAGACUUUGCUUUCUCAGCACCCGCUUAUGUCCUCUGACACAUGAGGCUGAGCUUCAAAGGCAGCGAGGCUGAGAAAAGCAGGUUGUCUACCAUGGAAAGGAGAAGUGUCUCUAGCCUAGUGAUGCAUGCCCUCUCUUUUUGCUGCAGGAAGGCUGGGUUUGCCUAUGGGCUGGAGGGGAGGCAGUGUGCGAACACCCCUCGUGUCUCCGGCCAUCCGCACGUGGUGCUGAGCAGGCGACCCCUGCCCCUGUGCAGCUUAAACCUGGCUGCUCCUCGUUGCCACUUAAAUGCUGCUUAAAUGAGUAAAACCCAUCUGUCUGCCAAUUUUCCUGGUGGAAACUGUUCAAGAACGAUGCUAAAAGAAAAAUGCUUUCAAACAGGAACGGGUGCUUUCCAUUUUUUUCCUUCAGCUAUUGCUGUCUUAUUAAGUACCAGUUACUAAUUAGCCUUCAUGUCUCAUUAAAAUCAUAGUGGUUUCUUUACCUACUGAAAAUUGUAAAUAGCCUUUAUUCUGGUAUUUAAUGCAUGUUGAUUGAGGUAUUUAUUGAAUGCCACUUAUGCAGCUCUGUGGCUGCAUUCAUUUGCUUCUUAAGACGUUUACUAAACCAUUGCUUAGAAUUACUCCAACCCAUCUGGCCUAUUAAGUGUUUGUGCAGAGUGUACCUGAUUUUCCCAUCCACUUCCUCAAUUAAUAUUAAAUAUUCAAGGGAAUUGAAUUUUUUCCUCCCUGCCAUCUGAUCUUCCUGCCAUCCAUCACGGUGUAUCUGGGUAGAACAUCAUCUAGCAGUGGAGCCCAGGGGCUGGACGUGGGACCUGGAGGUGGAAGCAAAGCACCCGCUUCUAGGGUUCUAGUAAUGGGUAAAUUCAAAUUCAAGGAUAUCAGAGUCAAAUUAUUCCACCCUAUUCUGACACAGGAAAAGGAGUCCUGGAAGCAGGGAUUUAA